rnacentral:rRNA from 1 species
GACGAACGCUGGCGGCGUGCUUAACACAUGCAAGUCGAACGGAAAGGCCCUGCUUGCAGGGUACUCGAGUGUCGAACGGGUGAGUAACACGUGGGUGAUCUGCCCUGCACUUCGGGAUAAGCCUGGGAAACUGGGUCUAAUACCGGAUAGGAGCCAUUUUUAGUGUGGGGGGUGGAAAGUUUUUUCGGUGUAGGAUGAGCUCGCGGCCUAUCAGCUUGUUUGUGGGGUAAUGGCCUACCAAGGCGGCGACGGGUAGCCGGCCUGAGAGGGUGGACGGCCACAUUGGGACUGAGAUACGGCCCAGACUCCUACGGGAGGCAGCAGUGGGGAAUAUUGCACAAUGGGCGCAAGCCUGAUGCAGCGACGCCGCGUGGGGGAUGACGGCCUUCGGGUUGUAAACUCCUUUCGCUAGGGACGAAGCUUUUUGUGACGGUACCUAGAUAAGAAGCACCGGCUAACUACGUG